rnacentral:rRNA from 1 species
UGCAGUCGAGCGAAUGACGAGGAGCUUGCUCCUCUGAUUUAGCGGCGGACGGGUGAGUAACACGUGGGUAAUCUGCCUGUAAGACGGGGAUAACUCCGGGAAACCGGGGCUAAUACCGGAUAAUAAGAAGAAACGCAUGUUUCUUUUUUGAAAGUCGGUUUCGGCUGACACUUACAGAUGAGCCCGCGGCGCAUUAGCUAGUUGGUGAGGUAACGGCUCACCAAGGCGACGAUGCGUAGCCGACCUGAGAGGGUGAUCGGCCACACUGGGACUGAGACACGGCCCAGACUCCUACGGGAGGCAGCAGUAGGGAAUCUUCGGCAAUGGGCGAAAGCCUGACCGAGCAACGCCGCGUGAGCGAUGAAGGCCUUCGGGUCGUAAAGCUCUGUUGUUAGAGAAGAACAAGUACGAGAGUAACUGCUCGUACCUUGACGGUACCUAACCAGAAAGCCACGGCUAACUACGUGCCAGCAGCCGCGGUAAUACGUAGGUGGCAAGCGUUAUCCGGAAUUAUUGGGCGUAAAGCGCGCGCAGGCGGUCUCUUAAGUCUGAUGUGAAAGCCCACGGCUCAACCGUGGAGGGUCAUUGGAAACUGGGAGACUUGAGUGCAGGAGAGAAAAGUGGAAUUCCACGUGUAGCGGUGAAAUGCGUAGAGAUGUGGAGGAACACCAGUGGCGAAGG